rnacentral:lncRNA from 13 species
AUGAUCAUUAUAUCAAAAAGCCAUUUGCAAAACAAUUCUAAUUUUAUUUUAAUCUUUAGGAUAAUGAUUCUGUUUUCCUCCUCAGACCUCUGGAUCUUAUUCUCUGCUCCUCAAACACAUCGCAGAGAAGAAUGGAUAUAUGACUGGUCAAUUCCAUGUGUGACUACAAGAGAUGUUGAGAAAAUCACUAUACACACAGAAGGUGAUGGGAGCAAAUUGAAAAGAGCCUGCAAUUCCAACUACCAGAGUCAAAGAGUGGCUGAAAAGAUCUCUGGGAAGAGUCAUGGAAUCAGGAUCCUGGAGAAACAGCACAGGAGCUGCGCUUCGGUUCCCUGA